CUCUUCCACCUGGAGCAGGUCUAUAUAUUCAAGUGUGGAGCAUCCUCAGCGCAGUAAGAAGGCUGUGUGGCACAAACUGCUUUCAAAACAGAGGAAGAGAGAUGUCGUCGCUUGCUUCAGGAUGCACCACUCUAUAACUUGCCAAGGCACCGGGCUGUAAACUUGUUCCUGCAGG